rnacentral:rRNA from 1 species
GCAGCCGCCGCGGUAAAACGAAGGGUGCAAGCGUUAAUCGGAAUUACUGGGCGUAAAGCGUGCGUAGGCGGUUUGUUAAGUCUGCUGUGAAAUCCCCGGGCUCAACCUGGGAAUGGCAGUGGAUACUGGCAAGCUAGAGUGUGUCAGAGGAUGGUGGAAUUCCCGGUGUAGCGGUGAAAUGCGUAGAGAUCGGGAGGAACAUCAGUGGCGAAGGCGGCCAUCUGGGACAACACUGACGCUGAGGCACGAAAGCGUGGGGAGCAAACAGGAUUAGAUACCCCCGUAGUCCCUGUCUCUUAUAC